rnacentral:misc_RNA from 1 species
AACGCAUAUUGCACCCUUCGGUAUUCCGGAGGGUACACCUGUUCGAGCGUCAUAUAAACCUUCAAGUUAAACUUGAUGUUGAGGGAUAUUCUAGUAGGAUACCCUUGAAACUUUUAGGCGCCCCCCAGUAAUUUAGGUGCAUCGAACUUUUAAGUACGCACUAAAAAUGAUUGAGGAGUAUGUCAAUAAUUAGUUGGAAAUUUACAUUUUUAGAGGGUACCUUCUAAAUUUUAGUGAGAAACCUUCUUAUUUUUAGUGGGUGACUCACUAAUUUUUAUUUGAUACCUACUAAUUUUGUAAAACUUUUUAAAUUUUUGAAAUUAUUUAGUGGGUACCCCUCUAAAAAUUAUUAGUUUUUAGUGGACCCCCCUAAAAUCUCAAAAUUUACUAAGUAAUAACCCAACUAAAAUCUCAAAAUUUGACCUCGGAUCAGGUGGGAAUACCCGCUGAACUUAA